UCACUUUGGCAGUAAAUGUACUAAAAUUGAAACGAUAAAGAAUUGGUUAGCCUGGCCUCUAAGCAAGACUGACACACAAAAUUGUAAACCAUUUCAUAUUUUA